AGAACGACUCUCGGCAACGGAUAUCUCGGCUCUCGCAUCGAUGAAGAACGCAGCGAAAUGCGAUACUUGGUGUGAAUUGCAGAAUCCCGUGAACCAUCGAGUCUUUGAACGCAAGUUGCGCCCGAAGCCUUCUGGCCGAGGGCACGUCUGUCUGGGCGUCA
rnacentral:rRNA from 1 species